ensembl:snRNA U6 U6 spliceosomal RNA
GUGCUCACUUCAGCAGCAUAUAUACUAAAAUUCGAAUGAUAAAGAGAAGAUUAGCAUGGCACAUGUCCAAGGAUGACAUGCAAAUUUGAAAAAGAUAAUUAUUUCCA